rnacentral:sRNA from 1 species
AAACCAUCCUUUUUUUUCCUCUUCUUU